CUCUUUUACACUCUACAAUACCAAAAUCUUGUUUCUGUGCAUUUCUGGGCAAAAAUCAGCUGCUUUCACCUGCUGUGCGCUUCUUGCACGAGUCACUGAGCAAUGUACAGUACACAGUGCUUGCUUUUGCAUGGUUACGCGUACUUGCUGUGCUGCCUUCCACUUGACCCCUGCGUCCCCACCCCCCUCCUUUUCCCUGAGAGGCUUUGGCUUGUGGCUAGCUAAGCUGGUUAGCUAGCCUCAUAACUCAAACAGCCUGUCAUUCAGCAGAGCUCGGCUGCUUACACCUACACCACAGUCGAUCAUGUGACCCAUUAAUGAUGACCCACCAUGACCUGUGCAGUCUGCUGUAUCCUCAUGUGAGCUGUUCCACCUUCCGGUUUGUCCAUGGGCUUUUUGUUUUUUUUUGUUGUUGCUGUUGCCUCCUUUUGAAGGAAGAGACAGGAAUGAGCUGUGAGAGCAUGUGACCUGGUCAGCUAAUCCAGUCGUUCACCUUUCAUAGCUUGUCAGAGUCAUUACUCCCUGAAUCCUGGGGAAGUCGCAGGAUUCGGGGAGUAAGCACAGCAUGAUUUCAAGCCAUUUUAAUCUCAGUUUGGCUGAGCCCUGUGGCUGCUCAGUUUAGUGUUUCAUGUGUGACACUUCCUGUGUGUGCUACCAUUGGGAACAUUGUACAUUCUAUAUUUAAUAAUCACUCAGUGUACAGCUGGUCUAUUACAGUCUUUAUCAUAUAACUGCCUGCACUGACGAAAAUCAAGGAUUAAUGAAAAAAGUGAAACUGAACUAAAACAUAUUAGCUGCGGGGCUGUAAUGCGGAAACAAGAAGCUGAAAGGUCCUAAAACGGACAGCCAUGGAGCUUAGGGGAUUUGGCACCAAAGUCUUUUUGAAGAAGCCAACUGACAGCAAGUGGUCGUAGACAUGGUCCCUGUCUACGAAGCGACCCCAUCAAGGACACGAAGUGAGGAGUUCAUUACACACAUUCAUGAUAGUUUGGGUUGUGCUGCAGUCUCCAACCACUCUCUUCCCUAGUUUGCCCCAAGGGUUGUUUUUCCCCAUAAGCCUCUAUGCAGAAUGCAGGUCUAAGGCACUUCAGGAUCCAGGAGCUGUGUCGAUCAUUUAUGUACAAUCUAUGGUUCUCAUGGUAAUCUAAUACACUAUUCAACACUGUUUAGUGCAGGUUUAAAUCAGAAACCAUUCAGUCAAUGAACUUGUAAUACAGAUAUUUGAUGCCAGUACUUCCAGUACUUGACAGGUUUCAAUACUUUGCGUAACUGACGUUUCCAUUAGUCACACAGGUAUUGGAGUCCAUGUACAGCCUUAAUCCACUCUGCAUUACAAGAGUUUUGUGUGUUGCGUUUUAGAUAAAGAGAAAGUCAAUAGAAAUCUAUUGUUUAUGUAGUGAAGUGUCAGCUGGAACAGCCUCCCAUGAUGUGUAACUACAGCUGGUGUGGCGCGGCCGAGACAGGGAGACAGCUGGAUGAAGAGCUCUCCCCCUCUUUCGCUGCCUGAGGAGCUGGAAUUGUCCAAGACCUCCCUUGAGCUUGCUCAAGAAGCAUAAAACUGAGAGGCACUCUGAGCAAGGAAAGCUGCUCAACUCUGGCCGUCUUAAAGAGGGGACCCGAGGCAGGAUACAUCGAUAGAAAAUGUGCAGCAGCACAGGAAGGAAAGGAAGGGGAAUGGUAGUGAAAGGUUAUAGUACAAUGUGAAGGGAGGAGGGCUCGGAUAACAUGUGUAAAACAGACUUCUCAUAACAUGAAUGCCUGCAGGGAGGGUUUGAUGCUAUAAACACUAGCUUGUCAUUCACACAGAAGACACAAGGAGAGGUUUUAUAGCCCAUAGUGGGUGUGACAGCCUUUAAAGACUGGUUUGGUCAGUUUACAGCUUAAGAACCCGCACACACAAAAAAGCGCCUGGUUACACAGCAAGGCAGUGAGAAAGUACAGCAGAGCGACAGAACUCUGCAGAGCAGUGAGUUUCUAAAACCGGCUCAUUUAUUCACACUUGACUGUCAUUAUGAGUGAUUGCAGCUCUGUAUUCAUUCAUUCUUAAGAUGCUCAAAAGAAAAAAACCCAGUACUUUAGAGUUAUCUCUCUUACUAUAAUCUGCUUCCUUGAAUGAACACCAGAUAAGCAGCUUCCAAACCAUUUAUAUGAGGAAAACUCAUUUGUGUUGUGUUCUGCAGUCAUUAAAUGUAAAUGACACUUUAGGUUUUCUACCUAUUUUCCUUCUGGAAGUGGUGAUUAUUGCACUUUUAUACCCAAUUUCAUUAACUGAAUUGGCCCAGCAGACGUUCAUUUAGCUAAUUCAAAGGAUUUGGAUUUAAAUCCUGUGUUGUCCUGCACUAAGGGGGAUAAGACGCUUCGAAGGCUCAGUUUUAAAUAAAUAUCAC
ensembl:lncRNA